rnacentral:rRNA from 1 species
AACGUAGGUGGCAAGCGUUAUCCGGAAUUACUGGGCGUAAAGGGUGUGCAGGCGGGGGUGCAAGUGGUGGAUGAAAUAUCCCAGCUUAACUGGGAGGGGUUAUGCCAGACUGCAACUCUAGAGGACGAGAGAGGGGGGUGGAAUUCCGGGUGUAGUGGUGAAAUGCGUAGAGAUCCGGAGGAACCCCAGAGGCGAAGGCGGCCCCCUGGCUCGUAACUGACGCUGUAGCGCGAAAGCGUGGGGAGCGAACCGG